GACGAACGCUGGCGGCGUGCUUAACACAUGCAAGUCGAACGGAAAGGCCCUGCUUUUGUGGGGUGCUCGAGUGGCGAACGGGUGAGUAACACGUGAGUAACCUGCCCUUGACUUUGGGAUAACUUCAGGAAACUUGGGCUAAUACCGGAUAGGAGCUCCUGCUGCAUGGUGGGGGUUGGAAAGUUUCGGCGGUUGGGGAUGGACUCGCGGCUUAUCAGCUUGUUGGUGGGGUAGUGGCUUACCAAGGCUUUGACGGGUAGCCGGCCUGAGAGGGUGACCGGACACAUUGGGACUGAGAUACGGCCCAGACUACUACGGGAGGCAGCAGUGGGGAAUAUUGCACAAUGGGCGGAAGCCUGAUGCAGCAACGCAGCGUGCGGGAUGACGGCCUUCGGGUUGUAAACCGCUUUCGCCUGUGACGAAGCGUGAGUGACGGUAAUGGGUAAAGAAGCACCGGCUAACUACGUG
rnacentral:rRNA from 1 species